ACAUUCUUUAUGAAGUAGUUUUAGACUGUUAGCAUACUCUGAUAGUAUCUAGGCAAUCACUGUGAGGUAAUGAAAAAGUUUUGUCCUAGGGGAACUUAAAAAAAACAACUCAUUCCAACAAAACACGGCAAUAGUGUGGAUCAAUCUAUUUAGUUAAACUGUAAGUAGUUUGAGAGCUACUCAAUGUUUUUAAACGCUGAGAGAAAAUACUAAGAAGCUGAUUACAAUGUGACUUCUGUGGGUGGAGGCUAUUAUUGCUCAUGAUUGUGUUUGUAGACUCCCAGGAGUCCAGCUGGUUCAGGUAGCAUGAAGGGAUAAAAUCAGCACAUUUCUGCAAAUCUGUGAAAUUAUCAGAGCCAGGAAGGAAGGAACACUGCAUGAGUGUGGUAAGUGAAACAGACUUCCUGAUACAGAG